rnacentral:lncRNA from 1 species
GCCUAAUUACACACACACCUGAAUUUAAUUAGCUUGGAAGUUGGGCGGUGGCUGUUUUAGCUUCGGACAGAUUUGUUUUAGGGUCUGGAGCAGCAAGAGCUGACAGGCAGGGACCUCGAACCCAACUGGACAGGAACCUACAGGAUGUUACUUGGCUGUAGACCUGACCCAAAGUUUGGCAGACUUAAGGGGCCAUCUGCCUGGCUCAAACCCAGCCUGUGAUGAAUGGAGAACUGCACUUACCAUCCUCAUAGAGAAGUUCACUUGGGUUUUUUUUUUUUUUUUAUGGGAAAGUUUACAAGUGGUGCUAAUAAAUAAAUCCUCAAGUACACUUAAACUGACAGGGCUGGGGAUAUAAAUGUCUGAUCGGUAUUGGACCAGGGUAGUGGGAGAGAGUAACUGGCAAGGAGGGUACAUUUCUAGGUCUGGGCUCUGUCCCAAAUGGUACUUGUUUUUUAACCCGGGUCCAUGGGGGGAAUAGGGUGCCAUUUGGGACUCAACCCCUGAUCCAGUCAAGGUGUGAGAACACCUUACUGUUCUGUACAGGCAAGGAGAAGACAGUGACAAAUCAACAGUUAGUAUUUCUAAACCUGCAGUCUUGGUCUGUGAAUUUUUUGUUGUUGUUGAAUAUUCCAACAGCUUGUCAUUCUCAAACGUUUUACUUGGUUGCAUGCAUGGGUUGGAACUGGUUCAGGGAACAGAACUGAAAAAUUACUGCAUUAUUUGAGGAAUAGAACCCAAACCAGAAACGAAAGUGAUCUAUACUGUUUCCCGGAAAGUAACCAUUAUUUUAAAUGCAUGGGAACCAUUUAAUAAUGUUAUUUUUAUGUCCCAGGCAUUUUUUUUUCCAAGUCCCACAAAAAUUGCAACAAAGUGCCAAUGCAAAGCCUUCACUUUGUCACUCAGAAAUGUACAUUUAAGUCAUUUAGCAACUGCCAGCUGGAAAUCUUUGUUUGUGUGUGUAGGCUACCUGCUCCUCCCCUCUGAUGCAGGUUACUGUAGCCAACUGAUGACUUUAGAAGCAUGAUUCAGAAAUUAGCGGGAGGUGUUUAAAAUGGUUCACUUCUUUGUUGUUGAGCUAAAUGUAAAACUUUUUUGAUUUAAGUUUAGAAAGGAACAAUAUAAACCUGUACUUUUUGUGGGGUUUGAACUGUUUCAGAACUUUAUUUUUCUGUUGGGAACAACGGAACAGAAC